GUGGAUUAGAUACCCUGGUAGUCCUAGCCGUAAACGAUGUGAACUUGGCGGCGGUUGGGUAAAACCGAUCGGUGCCGAAGCAAACGCGAUAAGUUCACCACCUGGGGACUACGGCCGCAAGGUUAAAACUCAAAGGAAUUGACGGGGGCCCGCACAAGCAGCGGAGCGUGUGGUUUAAUUCGAUGCUACACGAAGAACCUUACCAGGGCUUGACAUGCAUAUGGUAGUGAAGCGAAAGCGGAACGACCCUUCGGGGAGUAUGCACAGGUGUUGCACGGCCGUCGUCUACU
rnacentral:rRNA from 1 species